rnacentral:rRNA from 1 species
GAUCUCAAAUGANGUAAGACUACCCGCUGAAUUUAAGCAUAUCCA